rnacentral:rRNA from 1 species
AGAGCGAACGCUGGCGGCAUGCUUAACACAUGCAAGUCGCACGGGCAGGGGCAACUCUGUCAGUGGCGGACGGGUGAGUAACGCGUAGGUAUCUAUCCUUGGGUGGGGGACAACUGUGGGAAACUACAGCUAAUACCGCAUGAUGACCGAGGUCUAAAGGCGUCCGGGGUAACCUGGUGCGUCGCCUGAGGAGGAGCCUGCGUACGAUUAGCUAGUUGGUGGGGUAAAGGCCUACCAAGGCGACGAUCGUUAGCUGGUCUGAGAGGAUGAUCAGCCACAUUGGGACUGAGACACGGCCCAAACUCCUACGGGAGGCAGCAGUGGGGAAUAUUGGACAAUGGGCGCAAGCCUGAUCCAGCAAUGCCGCGUGUGUGAAGAAGGUCUUCGGAUUGUAAAGCACUUUCGACGGGGACGAUGAUGACGGUACCCGUAGAAGAAGCCCGGCUAACUUCGUGCCAGCAGCCGC